rnacentral:rRNA from 1 species
CCUACGGGAGGCAGCAGUGGGGAAUUUUGGACAAUGGGGGCAACCCUGAUCCAGCCAUGCCGCGUGUGUGAAGAAGGCCUUCGGGUUGUAAAGCUCUUUUCAGCUGGGAAGAUAAUGACGGUACCAGCAGAAGAAGCCCCGGCUAACUCCGUGCCAGCAGCCGCGG